rnacentral:rRNA from 1 species
AUUGAACGCUGGCGGCAGGCCUAACACAUGCAAGUCGAACGGUAACAGGGAUCAGCUUGCUGAUUCGCUGACGAGUGGCGGACGUGUGAGUAAUGUCUGGGAAACUGCCUGAUGGAGGGGGAUAACUACUGGAAACGGUAGCGAAUACCGCAUAACGUCGCAAGACCAAAGAGGGGGACCUGCGGGCCUCUUGCCAUCGGAUGUGCCCAGAUGGGAUUAGCUAGUAGGUGGGGUAACGGCUCACCUAGGCGACGAUCCCUAGCUGGUCUGAGAGGAUGACCAGCCACACUGGAACUGAGACACGGUCCAUACUCCUACGGGAGGCAGCAGUGGGGAAUAUUGCACAAUGGGCGCAAGCCUGAUGCAGCCAUGCCGCGUGUAUGAAGAAGGCCUUCGGAUUGUAAAGUACUUUCAGCGGGGAGGAAGGGAGUAAAGUUAAUACCUUCGCUCAUUGACGUUACCCGCAGAAGAAGCACCGGCUAACUCCGUG